UCUGCAGGAUUUACGCGCACGUUGGAACCGAAGAGAGCUCUGUUGUUGCAAUGUUCAGCCCACAAGAGCUUACUGGUGAAGGAAUGGGACAAGACCCAUCUUUAUGCAAAGCCAGCGUUACAGUAAUGUUCCAGCAUCUCAUAAUCUAUCCUGGGGAAUUCAGCUGCCUCCCAGGGUGAAUACAGGUAAUUAUCCAAAUUGGUGUAUGUCAUCUUUGUAAAUGUUCAAGAAAACAAGUGGCCGGCGGAACAAUGUUUUUUGGCGCCUUCCAUCUUGUUCCUCUUGAAAUGAUUUUCUGGGGAGGGAGAUCGCAACCCGGUACUACAGUUCUUGUAAGGGUGUGCUGUUACCCUCAUCCAUAUAUCGAUCACGUUACUGUCAGAUGAUUUGAAUUGAUAAGCUGAUGUUCUGUGAGGUACAAAAGUUAAUAGCAUGUUAGAGUUCUGAUGGCAGUUGUUGUUUAUGAAUAAGCUUCAUUCCAUCCUAAUACCUUAAAAUAACUAAUUUGCUUUCCUUUCCAGGUAUUCCUGAUGACAGUCUGCCUCUAUCUUACAGUAAGUUGUUUUUCGAAUUCUAUGGGCCUAUUAUCUAAUAGAUAACUUAGCCAUUUUGAUAUUUGUUACCAAAGCCU
rnacentral:lncRNA from 1 species